rnacentral:rRNA from 1 species
UACGUAGGGGGCAAGCGUUGUCCGGAAUCAUUGGGCGUAAAGAGCGUGUAGGCGGCCAUGUAGGUCCGUUGUGAAAACUCGAGGCUCAACCUCGAGACGCCGAUGGAAACCAUGUGGCUAGAGUCCGGAAGAGGAGAGUGGAAUUCCUGGUGUAGCGGUGAAAUGCGCAGAUAUCAGGAGGAACACCGGUGGCGAAGGCGGUUCUCUGGGCAUGUCCUGACGCUGAGGAGCGAAAGUGUGGGGAGCGAACAGG